CCUUGGCGGGCCCACAAAAACCGAUUAAUUACGGUCGCUACGUAACCGAGUACCUGCUCGGUGCACGUGUACCGGUACGUUAUGUACCGGUGGCCGCGGCCGAGCAUUGCACACGAGCAGUCGGCCAUAAAAUCCCGAGCCGUCCUGACGCAUUGGUUGCGUCCCGCAAAGACGUCGACGCUGAGUAAUUACGAGCCGCGCGGAGACAAUAGCGAAUUUAAAAUCGUUACGCAAACUAACUAGAUUUCCCGCUACUUCGCGAGGAAGGUGGGGGGCAUCGAGUCUAAUUACGCAACCGUAACGUGUCUCUCUUUCCCUUGCUUCCUCGAGCCACGUGGCCUGGCGAUCGUUGAAAUUGUAAUCGAGUUUCCGAAUUAAAAACAAAACUGUUACGUGAGUAACAGGUGUUUCAGGACGAGCAGAACGUACCACUUCAAGAGGCAUUACUACGGAUAAAUACGAGAAGAACGCAUUGGUAUCGCAGGAAGAAAGAACAGCGUCGGUGGUAAUAAGGAGGAUGCGUUACCACGGCGUCACGAGAGGGGUUCACGCAACCGGCCAAAGCUUUACUGGAGGUAAUCUUUCCACGGCGACAACGACUACGUAACAGAGCCGAGAUACGUAUUCGAGAUGCGGUGGAAGUUUGUUCGCGGUGAGUUUGGCCGUCUCCGAGACAGAAAAUUGCACGUGCAGCAGCGAGGAUCUCUCCGACGAUAUGUUCGGUUUCUCCAUGAACACUCGACACGAACUAUCGCGUGCCACGGCCGAACAAGAACCACCGUUUUCGAUGGUAAACGCUCGCCGCGGCGAAAUCUGCCCGAGAGAUCGAGCGAACGGCGUCAGGUGCAUCCGACCGUUUUCAAUAAGUUACACUCGACACGAGUCAGCCAACGUCGAGAGCAGUUUUGCAGUCGCCAUCGAUCUCGAGAUCACCGCGUCAGCCAUCCCCCGAGAUAUGCUGGCAAUUCCAGCACCCGUUCGGGCUUUUUCCAGCAGCGGAUUCCGCGAUGCGAGAACUGCUUCCGUGGAUCUAACCGGAAUUCCAAAUGUGACGGACAACUGCGAAGGACCAGCCAGCUAUCAAUUUACACGAAUCGUCCAUCGAUCUUCGAUCCCUGCCACGGGAAACGGACGACGCGACGCGUUCGGAAACCGGAAACUACCAUCGACCCGACCGAUUCUUCCAAUACACGAACGAGGGAUACUGUACGCAAUUUACAGGAGUCGCUACGAAGGAAGGGAGCAACAGACGCCGCGGACUUACGGAAGAAAAUUACUGGGAAUUUCCGCGGUGUUUUCCUGGCCUCCCACGGUUAAAUUACAUCCGUCCAGGGAAUGUAGUUUGAAACGGAAAGACUCGUCGAAACUAAAAAACAAAGCCGCGUAUUAUACGCGGGCGGUAUACGACGAAUAUUCGUUAGAAAGUAAUGAAAGCCGUUGUUCGAAUUCUGGCUGCUGGAAAAUCGCCGCUCCGAAAAAGCGUAUAAAUGCCACCGACGCGAAUGGGGAAAGAGACGAGCAGGUUACCGGAUUUCCACGGAAUUCUCGCUCAUGAUGUUCCAACGAUAUUCUACGGUGCGUGAAAACAUCCAAAAGCAAAGGACGCCUGAGAAACUCGUGCGUCAAAUUCGACAACACUGUCGAAAUUAAUUUUUUUGUUUAUCAUAGAAAUCCCAGAUUGUACUCGCGUUCGAGUUUCGGUGAGAAGAUUGAGAUGUUUACCCCAUUGAUCUAAUCGGUUCGUUCGGUGUUCCAGCAUUGUUCUCGAAGAAUUUAAAUGAGAAGCUAUCUCGACGCCAAAGUUUGAUUAGAUUCAUCAAGUCCGGACAGGAAUAAUUAUCUUCAUCAGCGCUAAAGCUGUUAACAGCUUUUCGUUUACUCCACUGUAUUGUAUCAUUUAGAAACUGUAUUAGAAACUGAAUAAACUUUUCGAUCUUGCAGA